UCAUGUGUCACCUUCUCACAGAGGAGACUAAGUCUUUACAAGUAUACCACUGAGAUUUUCUAUUUGAUGCCACAUGCACCUAAUCUUCAUUUGUACAAAGAAGAAUUAUCCAUAUCCUCUUUCACAAAUCACAAUGCUUUCAAACUUGUUGUUGUUCAUUUGUAUACUAUUUUCAUGCUUCAUUUUCACUGCUCAUUCUUACAAUAACAAAUGCCUUCUCCAUCAGGAAACCUUGUUGCUUCAACUCAAGGAUGAGUUGAUCUUCAAUUCUUCUCUUUCGACAAAACUGGUGCGAUGGAAUGAAAGUGGCGAGUGCUGCAAGUGGCCUGGUGUGGAAUGUGAUGCUUCUGGCCAUGUCGUUAGUUUGCAGCUCCAUGAUGAGGGUAUCUAUGGUGGAAUUGGGGAUUCAUCGAGUCUCUUCAGAUUUAAAUAUCUGCAGAAGCUUAAUCUCGCCAACAAUGACUUCCACUUUGAUCUCAUUCCAAAAGGUAUUGGCAGUCUGACCUAUUUGACACACUUGAAUUUGUCGUAUGCGGGUUUUCGUGGGCAAGUUCCCUAUGAAAUUUCAUUCUUGAAGAGAUUGGUUAGUCUCGAUAUCUCCAGCCGUGAUGCCUUUUAUUUCAAGACCAUAUCUGUUGUGCACCCAAAUUUGGAGAUGCUUGUCCAAAAUCUAACCGAGCUUAGAGAGCUCCAUCUUAAUGGUGCCAAUAUGACUUCCUUCCAUGAAAGGGAAAAUCGGGGCAAUAUUACAUCAUCACAUUUACCCAACCUCACCACUUUAAGCAUGGUUGGUUGUAUUCUUUAUGGCCCUUUGCCUAAAUCCAUUUGGCAACUUCAUUCCCUUUCUAUUCUUCGUCUAGAUGAGACCGAUCUUUCAGCGGUAUCACUCCAUGACUUGUUCACCAAUUUUCCAAGUCUAACCACCUUAACUCUUUCUGGCUGCCGGUUGAAGGGUUCUAUUCCAACGAGCUUUGCUAGCCUAACCAAGCUGAUUCAUGUCGAUAUGUCAUAUAACUCCUUGACAGGUUCGCUUCCUUCUGCAUUGUUUGCUAACCUAACCAAGCUGAUUCAUGUUGAUUUGUCAUCUAACUCCUUGGCAGGUUCACUUCCUUCUACAUUCUUUGAAGGUCUUUCCAAUCUCGUUCAUCUAUAUUUAGAGCAAAAUUCAUUCUUUGGUAAUAUUCCCUGCUCUCUUUUUGCUCUCCCUUCAUUGUUGGAACUUGAUCUUAGAUACAACCGAUUUAAUGGCACUUUUCAACUUGAAAACUUUCGAAGCCUUCCCAAUCUCACAUCGCUUCGUCUAUCCAGCAAUAGCUUGUCAGUAUAUGUUGGAAACACCAAUUCGAGUUCAUAUGGUGGUCGCAAACUAAAAGAAUUAUGUCUAUCUUUAUGUAACUUGUCCAGUUUUCCUGAUUUUAUCAAACAUUUGGAUCUGGUAACACUGGAUCUCUCAAAAAACCUUAUUGAGGGAGAAAUACCUAGUUGGAUUUGGGGAACACAACUUGAUGUUUUGGACCUCUUGUAACGCCCGCACUUUUUAUAGUGCUUGAUGCACGUAAAUCGAGGUUUGGUCGAAGAAGAUAUACGAAAAAUAUUAAGUACGGUUUCAUUUUGGGCUUUUCAUAUUUAAUUAGAGUCCAAUUAUUUGCAAAAUAAUUUGGAUUCUAAUUAUUCUCUAAACCCCAAUCAAAUAGUAGUAUUUCUUUUUACUUGGGCUUCCAAUUUAGUUUAUUCUUGAGCCCAACUAAAAUAUUUUGGUAGAGCCCAAGUAUAGUUUUAAUUUUAAAUUAAGUGGGACCAAGCCCAAAACUUUUUCUUCUUCCUUUUCCUUCUUUUUCCUUUAUGGCCGACGGUUUGUGAGUUCUUGGAGGAGACUCUCCAAUUUCUCACCCCUUCCAUCUCCCACCAUUACUCCACCAUUCCAAGAGUCACCCACUACACCCUCCUUAAACCCCUCUAACCCACUCACCACUUACACUCAACGAAAAAAAAAGAGAGAAGAGAGAAGGAGAAGCGGCGAGAGAGAGUGCCGAGAGGGAAGGAGGAAGCUUGAGCCACCAUCUUGUGUAUUCUUCCACCAUUUUCAACCAUCUUGAGGUAUAUUAUCUUUUCCACCCUCAAAGCAUGAGUUUAAUAUAGCCUUGCAUGAUGCAUAUAGCCUUGUUUUUCUUCCAUAACCAUCUAAGUAGAAAUCAACGUAGAACCUUCCAAACGAUCGCCGUACAUAACCGAAGCUUAGAAAGAACUUAGCUUUAUAUUCAUAACACGUGUUGUGGGUUGAUUCGGGGUGGUUCGGAGUGUUUCCGGAGAAGAGGAAGCAGCCGGCAGCGGCGAGCUGCCCGUGACAGCAGCGGCUCCUCCUCGUGGCAGCAGCAACUGUCGACGGAGCAGCAGCGGCGGCUGACUUCAGGCGGUGACGGAGCAGCAGUGGCGGUCAGCGGCGGCAGCGACCGCACAGCGACGGCAGUGAGCAGCGAUGGCAGCAAACGGCGUCCUCCCUCCUCGCUGCAGCGGCGAUUUCCGUCGAGGAGUGGAGACGCCGGCGAACAGCAGGCCGGAUCAGCAGCGUCGAGCCGGAGAGAAGGCGACGGCGGUGUGCCUCCGUCGUGGGGUGGCGACGGCAGGGGAAAAGAGAGACGGGGAGAGAGAAGGAGGGAGAGAGAGAGAGUAUAGUGGAAGAAGAAGAUAGAGAGAAUUGGGCCAUGUUGUUUUUUUAGUUAAUUGGGCCUUGGAUUAAUUUGUUAAUUGUUGGGCCUUUUUAAAAUUGGAGGUUAAGUUAAAUUAUUGGGCUCACUUUUAAAUUGUCGGGGCUUCCUAAUUAAUUUUGGAGGAAUAAGGUGGGCUAAGUAGUUAAUCUUUUGGGCCGGUAAUUAAAGGUAAAUUGGGAACAAUGUUUAGUUAAUUCCCGAGAGUUUUUUUUUAAGGAAUGAUUCUAUCCUAAGUCCGAAAUAAAUAUAGUCCGAGGGAAUAUAGUUGCGAUAAAUUAAUUAUGCGCUUAAGUAAUUUUUGAAAAUUUAUUUGGACGUCAUGGAAAAUACGAGGAGCCAACGGGGGAAAGAACUAGCGUAAGCGGCCGACCGGCGUCGCACGCGACGCCUUGGGCAGCCGCUGAAUAACCGAAAAUGCACGGAAACCGAGAAAGAAGAUUUAAGGAAUUUGAUUAGAGUGCAUACAUUCUAAUUAUCGUCGUUUCCGAGUUUAAUAUGAAUUUUAUGUAUUUUCCGAAAAGGUGGUUCGCACGGCCGCUAAAGUCAGAACGAGAAGCUGUUAAGGGAAUUCUAAGCUUUUGAGAUGAACAAAGCUGCUAAAAUUGAGAUAGAAGAUACAAGUAAUAGCAGACAACGGACGAUCAAAGACGUACAUUUCAUGAGCGCGUUGGAGAAAAUCUCGCCCGUCUGUGUCGGACAAGGUGCCUUCUUCUCAUUAACUACAUUUCUCCCAAAUUGUCACUUGUGAUGUUUAUCUUGCCUCAUGGUCGCGUAUUUGUUUUUGGGUGCAGGAAAUACGAAGAUACAAGAAGUUUUUGAAAAAUUUCAAAGCUCGAUGAGAGUACAGUUUUGGUCCUUCAAUCCUUCCUCUUAAGGAGAGACUCUUUUUGUGGCAGAGGUUUGGUGGAAGUUUUUUAGGGAAUAAUUUUUGCAUUUCUUUGAUGGUGGCAGAGAUUACACAAUUUACAUGAAGGGCAGCACAUUUAGAAUGAGGACUAAUGAGGCCAGAUUGCCUUUGUCUCUGUUGCUCGAUUGUUGCAUGGAGAUUUAGGUAUUACAUUUGUUACGUCAAGUUUGUGUGAAGUUAGUUUUGAUCCCAUGAAA